GACGAACGCUGGCGGCGUGCCUAAUACAUGCAAGUUGAGCGCUGAAGGUUGGUCCUUGUACCAACUGGAUGAGCAGCGAACGGGUGAGUAACGCGUGGGGAAUCUGCCUUUGAGCGGGGGACAACAUUUGGAAACGAAUGCUAAUACCGCAUAAAAACUUUAAACACAAGUUUUAAGUUUGAAGGAUGCAAUUGCAUCACUCAAAGAUGAUCCCGCGUUGUAUUAGCUAGUUGGUGAGGUAAAGGCUCACCAAGGCGAUGAUACAUAGCCGACCUGAGAGGGUGAUCGGCCACAUUGGGACUGAGACACGGCCCAAACUCCUACGGGAGGCAGCAGUAGGGAAUCUUCGGCAAUGGACGAAAGUCUGACCGAGCAACGCCGCGUGAGUGAAGAAGGUUUUCGGAUCGUAAAACUCUGUUGGUAGAGAAGAACGUUGGUGAGAGUGGAAAGCUCAUCAAGUGACGGUAACUACCCAGAAAGGGACGGCUAACUACGUG
rnacentral:rRNA from 1 species